rnacentral:rRNA from 1 species
CCUACGGGUGGCAGCAGUGAGGAAUAUUGGUCAAUGGGCGCGAGCCUGAACCAGCCAAGUCGCGUGAGGGAAGACGGUCCUAUGGAUUGUAAACCUCUUUUGUCGGGGAGCAAAAGACGCCACGCGUGGCGUUCCGAGAGUACCCGAAGAAAAAGCAUCGACUAACUCCGUGCCAGCAGCCGCGGUAAUACGGAGGAUGCGAGCGUUAUCCGGAUUUAUUGGGUUUAAAGGGUGCGCAGGCGGAAGAUCAAGUCAGCGGUAAAAUUGAGAGGCUCAACCUCUUCGAGCCGUUGAAACUGGUGUUCUUGAGUGAGUGAGAAGUAGGCGGAAUGCGUGGUGUAGCGGUGAAAUGCAUAGAUAUCACGCAGAACUCCGAUUGCGAAGGCAGCAUACCGGCGCUCAACUGACGCUCAUGCACGAAAGUGUGGGUAUCGAACAGGAUUAGAUACCCUAGUAGUC